rnacentral:misc_RNA from 2 species
CCGAGUGAGGGCCCUCUGGGUCCAACCUCCCACCCGUGUUUACCGUACCCUGUUGCUUCGGCGGGCCCGCCCUCAGCGGCCGCCGGGAUGGCCCCUUGCGCCUCCGGGCCCGCGCCCGCCGAAGACACCUGUGAACGCUUCUAUUGAAGAUUGCAGUCUGAGUGAUUUUUUUCCAAAUCAAUCA